UACGGAGGGUGCGAGCGUUGUCCGGAAUCAUUGGGCGUAAAGGGCGCGUAGGUGGCCCGGUCAGUUCGUGGUGAAAGCGCGGGGCUCAACCCUGCGUCGGCCAUGAAUACUGCCGCGGCUGGAGCACUGUAGAGGCAGGCGGAAUUCCGGGUGUAGCGGUGGAAUGCGUAGAGAUCCGGAAGAACACCGGUGGCGAAGGCGGCCCGCUGGAUCGGUACUGGACGCUGAGG
rnacentral:rRNA from 1 species